UGCCCUAGUAACGGCGAGUGAAGCGGCAACAGCUCAAAUUUGAAAUCUGGCCUUCUGGUCCGAAUUGUAAUUUGUAGAGGAUGCUUUUGGUUAGGUACCUUUCGAGUUCCUUGGAACAGGACGCCUUAGAGGGUGAGAGCCCCGUACGAUUGGAUACCGAGCCUCUGUAAAGCUCCUUCGACGAGUCGAGUAGUUUGGGAAUGCUGCUCUAAAUGGGAGGUAAAUUUCUUCUAAAGCUAAAUACCGGCCAGAGACCGAUAGCGCACAAGUAGAGUGAUCGAAAGAUGAAAAGCACUUUGAAAAGAGGGUUAAAUAGUACGUGAAAUUGUUGAAAGGGAAGGGCUUAUGACCAGACCUUUGCCUUGCGGAUCAUCCGGUGUUCUCACCGGUGCACUCCGCUUGGUUGAGGCCAGCAUCAGUUUUGGCGGCCGGAUAAAGACUUCAGGAAUGUGACUCCCCCGGGAGUGUUAUAGCCUGCUGUGUAAUACGGCCGCUGGGACUGAGGACCGCGCUUCGGCUAGGAUGCUGGCAUAAUGGUCAUCAGCCA
rnacentral:rRNA from 1 species